rfam:Ovis aries breed Texel chromosome 3, whole genome shotgun sequence.
UCCCCGGUGGCUCAGAGGUUAAAGCAUCAGCCUGUAAUGCGGGAGACCCGGGUUCGAUCCCUGGGUCAGGAA